CCUACGGGAGGCAGCAGUGGGGAAUAUUGCGCAAUGGGCGAAAGCCUGACGCAGCGACGCCGCGUGAGGGAUGAAGGUCUUCGGAUCGUAAACCUCUGUCAGCAGGGAAGAACGGUCACUGUGCUAAUCAGCAGUGAAUUGACGGUACCUGCAAAGGAAGCACCGGCGAACUCCGUGCCAGCAGCCGCGGUAAGACGGAGGGUGCGAGCGUUAAUCGGAAUUACGGGGCGGAAAGCGCUCGUAGGCGGUAUUUCAAGUCAAGGGUGAAAUCCCCGCGCUCAACGUGGGAACUGCCUUUGAAACUGGCACACUGGAGUGUGUGCGAGUAUAGUGGAUUUCCAGUUGUAGGC
rnacentral:rRNA from 1 species